rnacentral:sRNA from 1 species
UAAUAACCUGAGUAUUCAAAUUGUUAUU